rnacentral:rRNA from 1 species
GACGAACGCUGGCGGCGUGCUUAACACAUGCAAGUCGAACGGAAAGGCCCUGCUUUUGUGGGGUGCUCGAGUGGCGAACGGGUGCGUAACACGUGAGUAACCUGCCCUUCACUUUGGGAUAACUUCAGGAAACUGGGGCUAAUACCGGAUAGGAUCUCCUGCUGCAUUGUGGGCGUUGGAACGUUUCGGCUGUUGGGGAUGGACUCGCGGCUUAUCAGCUUGUUGGUUGGGUAGUGGCUUACCAAGGCUUUGACGGGUAGCCGGCCUGAGAGGGUGACCGGGGACAAUGGGACUGAGAGACGGAGCAGAGGGCUAUGGGAGGCAGCAGGGGGGAAUAUGGCACAAUGGGAGGAAGCGGGAGGAAGAAACGCUGCGUUCGGGAUGACGGUCUGCGGGUUGUGAACAGCAUUAGCUUGUGACGAAGCGGGAGUGACGGUAAUGGGUAAAGAAGCACCGGCUAACUACGUG